rnacentral:lncRNA from 1 species
UUCCCAAAAAAUUCCCAAAAAUUUAUCCCGAUCGGAGCGGGACGGGGUAAAUUGCCAUCCCUAGGUGGUACACUGGUGGAGGGUGGUUAUAGAGUUUAGAAGUAUGACUAGAGGACGGGGCAACUUCAAACAUCCGGGAGGGGACUGUCUUUUCCAGUCCCUGAGGGGUAUUAAUGUAGUAUACGUAAACCUCAAUGGAGGUAAGUGUAAUGUUUCAUGAGACUACUAAAUGUACGAUGGUUGUAGUGUAUGAGUGAUCACACCCAAGGUCUUCCCCGGUAAAAAGAAAUUGGAGACGAAGACCAUCAUUCCUUCAUUCAUUCAUCGUUGUUGUUCGUUCUUCGUCUUCUCUGCUCUCUUUACAAGUUCGUCUCCGUCUUCUUGUGCGUGUGUAUUCAACGAAGGGGAGCCACAACGCGGAUCGAUCUCGAUGUCUAACUUGUUCAAUCAUAUCUGAGGACUUGCUCAUCGGAAUCGCACCAUCAAUUUCUAUCG